rnacentral:rRNA from 1 species
UACGUAGGGUGCAAGCGUUGUCCGGAAUUAUUGGGCGUAAAGAGCUCGUAGGCGGUCUGUCGCGUCGGAUGUGAAAAUCAGGGCUCAACCCUGGACCUGCAUUCGAUACGGGCAGACUAGAGUUCGGUAGGGGAGACUGGAAUUCCUGGUGUAGCGGUGAAAUGCGCAGAUAUCAGGAGGAACACCGGUGGCGAAGGCGGGUCUCUGGGCCUUACCUGACGCUCAGGUGCGAAAGCUAGGGGAGCGAACAGG